GAAAAUAUGACUUAGAUGCGACGGAGCGAAGCGAUCGGAGCCUCUAAGUCUGGUUCCAUGCGACUGCCGUACAACCGUAUUCGAGUGGCGAAUACAUCACGCUUCAGCUCCUUCGUUGCAGGCAUUCUGCCUUUCACUCAGUAGAGCUUCAGCUUGCAGUUAACUAUUCUGCAGUGUAAGGGCCAUGGCAGCCGGUCUCCCCGCUUCCCGUCUCCACCAUUCCAAGCAUGGUUAGCAAGUACGUCAGAAUCUGAGCCACGAGAAGACGGUUAAGGGAGACAGGAGCACAGAACAGUUUUCCUGCUGAACAACAGUCUCAUCUGAGCUGGUUCGCUGGGUGAUGUCGCUCUUAUCAGAAAGGGGCUCUCCUGUUUCCAGACUUCCCCGGAGUUCCCACCUACAUGCUCUCGCAUCAUACCCCCCAUGGGGCCCCCUAUUCCUCCGACGAUUCUUCUGAAUCCCACUGGAACCCGCUGCAUUACCUGAUUAAGCCAUGCCACAGCAGUUUCCUGCCUGCCCCUACCUCCUAGCUCGGCUUUGUGAAACAGACAUAUCCAUGUACAUACCCCUUGUGAUGCACUGUGUCCUGAGUCCACGAUGUACAUCAUGAUGCAACUAUUCUAUUUGUUAUGCGCAUGCGCUACAU
rnacentral:lncRNA from 1 species